UUUAACAUUUUUCUAGGUAGUAAAAAUGAUCAAGACAAGUAGGCCCAGACAUUUUUCCAACUGACAGAUGCUAGUGGUGUGUUUUUGUUGUUUUGUUUGGUUUGGUUUUUCUUUUAUUAUUUUAUUUUUAAAUUCUCUUUUUAGUUGUCUGAAAAAAGUUUUGACUUCAGCAGGGCCUCACACGUGCUGGGUGCAGCAGCUGUCUGCUGAUACUGGUUUUUUCUAACCUAAACCCAGGUCCCGGUCUAGAUCCCGCUCGAGGUCCCGUGGAAGAAGGUAUUCCCGGUCACGCAGUCGCAGCCGUGGUAGGAGGUCCAGAUCAGCUUCCUAUCGUAGGUCCAGGUCCGUGUCUCCUCGUAGGUCUAGGUCCGUGUCUCCCCGCCGGUCCCGCUCGGGUUCCUUGAAGAGAUCGAGGUCUAGAUCAAGAUCAAGAUCUAGAUCCAGAUCUGUUACAUGGCCCCGAAGCAGGUCUAGGUCUCAUGGCAGAUCAAAGUCUGGCUCACCAGCUAAGAGCCGGUCAAAGUCCCGGUCACCAUCUCCAAAGAGAAGCCGUUCACCAUCAGGGAGCCCUCAACGAAGUGCAAGUCCUGAAAGAAUGGAUUAAAGUUAUGAAGUUAAUCUUUUAGGAAGAAAGAUAUUUUGCUUACAUUAUUAUAAGGGAUUUUGUGGUGUCUUUGUAAAUGUAAGAAUGUAGAUAGAAGAGUAUAUCAACUAAAAUUUGGCAUGAUCUGGGUCUUCUGAGUUAGUCACACCAAUAGACUAGCACAGGUCUCUUUUUAUUGUAUGAAUUAACUUCCUGUGAUAUGAAAAUGUGGGACUUUUUUAUUGGCACAUUGAAAUAAAAUGUGUAUUUUUAAC